CAUUGAACUUUUAAUUGCCUCAAGCUAUUUAAAAGUGUUAAACUAUACGUAAUUUUCAUAACAAAUUUCUAUUCAAUCAAAUAACUAGAUCUACCUUCGAUAAUGUUGUGAACAGAAGAACUAUCAAAAUGAGAAUUCUGUCAUGUUAUAGGCUGGUAUUUGUAUCUUUGUUAUUAGUCUUAUGCUAUUCGCAAAAAUAUACAGAAAGAAGCAAACAAUCUAACCAAGAUAGAGAAAGAGAUAAAGUUAUUGUUGCUGAAUUGACAAACAUGUUGUGUUCGAUGUGUAGCAAAAUGCAGGACACUGCAAAUAAAAAGAAGUGCAUAGAGAAAUUAUGUUUACGGAAUGCAUUGUCUUUUGUUCGGCAUUCAAAAGUGAUGGAAAAAACACCAGGACUGCAAUUGACAGCUUAACGUCUUCAUUAAAGACGAAAUUUGAUAUAA